rnacentral:rRNA from 1 species
CGCCGGCGACCGGCGCACGGGUGAGUAACACGUAUGCAACCUGGCCGUGACAGAUGGAUAACCGGGAGAAAUCCCGCCUAAUACAACAUAAUGCCGGGAGGGGACAUCCCCUGCCGGCCAAAGGGGCGACCCCGGUCACGGAUGGGCAUGCGGCGCAUUAGGUAGUUGGUGGGGCAACGGCCCACCAAGCCGACGAUGCGUAGGGGUUCUGAGAGGAAGGUCCCCCACAUUGGAACUGAGACACGGUCCAAACUCCUACGGAAGGCAGCAG